GACCCCAGUCUAGAACUUGAGAGCCCAGUGACAUAACCAUUACGCCAUCUGCUGGUCCCUAAAGAACAUUUUUAAUCACCCCUGAAAGACACCGUGUACCCAUUAGCAGUCACUCCCUAUUUCUCCCCAGUAUCCCCCUUCCUAGGAAGCCACCGAUCAUUUUGUCUCUAUGGAUUUGCCUGUUCUUGAUAUCUUCUAUAAACAGAAACUACAAUAUGUGUUCUGUAGUGACUAGCUUCUACUUUCAAAGGUCAUAUCGUAGCAAGCCUCAACACUUGAUUCCUUUUCAUUGCUGAAUAACAAACACUUCACUGUAUGGAUAUACUAAGUUUUGUUUAUCCAUGCAUUAAUUAAUGGGCAUUUGGGUUGUUUCUACUUUUUGGCUAUUAUGAAUAAGGUUGUCCUCAAUAUUCGUGUGUAAGUUUUUGGUGUGAACAUACAUUUUCAACUCUAUUAGGUGUAUGUCUAGGAGUGGGAUUGCUAGGUCACAUGGUAGCUCUAUGUUUAACCUUUCAAGGAACUGCCAGUCUGCCUUCCAAAGCUGCAUCCAAAGUACAUUCACCAUUUUACAUUCCCACCAGCAGUGUGUGAGAAUUCCAAUUUUUCUACACCUUGCCAACACUUACUAUGUCUUUUUUUUUUUUUUAACAGAGUUUCACUCAUGUUGUAAUUCUCCUGCCUCAACCUCUUGAGUUGCUGGGAUUACAGAGGCACAUUACUGUGUCCAGUCUUUAGGUUGGAUCCUUGCUGAGGAAGGAGGCCCAACUCCUGACAUGGCCUUGCAUGCAGAACUGAUGUUACUCAGGGAGAGUGGCAAAGUGUUGACCUUCCCUGUGAAUCUCUAGAACCUGUAGUGAUUAACCUAACUCACCAGGACUCUGUUGUGAUUACUGAACAAAGGAGGAGGCCAAGGAGAAAUGCAAGGCCAUGCCAACAGCAAACUGGCGGGAUCAGAUCUCCCAUGUGGUCCCAGCCUGCACAGCAUAGCAUCUGAACAGCACGUGCCAACGCAGCUGGGCCCUGCCUUUUUUAUUCUACCCAAUCUAGUAGGCAUGAAAUGUGAAAAAUUCAGAUCGAGCUGUCUUGUAAGUGGCUCCCAGAAGAUUCAUGCUCCAUGGGAGCACAGCAAUUGUGGAGGGGAGGACAGGACUGGAAGCAGAAACAGAGUUCAAGCAUACUGGAAAAUCUGAGCUCUGAAUUCUUAUGUAAGUCAGAAAGUGACUGACCAGCAGCUGCGAGACACUGAGUACGUCAAUGUUUGCUGUUAACUUUGGCACAGAUCACAAUUGUCCGAACACUGAAUAUAACCAGCAUAAGGAAUACAAGAAUAUGCUAUAGCGGCAUGAUGAAUUCCAGACAAGCCUGGGGACUCCCUACUGCUGGGGAAGGAGGCCCAAAUCCUGACAUGGCCUUGCAUGCAGAACUGAUAGUACUCGGGGAGAGUGAUGAAGUAGUUGAUCUCACCUGUGAAUCUCUAGAACCUGUAGUGAUUGAUCUAACUCACCAGGACUCUGUUGUGAUUACAGAACCAAGAAGGAGGCCAAGGAGAAACGAGAGGCCAUGCCAACAGCAAACUGGCACUUACACAGGGAGCAGUAAUGAGGAGGGCUUGAUGAGAGACAGAGAUAAAUGUGUGACCAACAGUGCCCACCAUAUUUCCCCAGAAGAAACUUUAAGACACGUACUACCUGGUUAUAUCCACUGUCAAAUUUGCAUGGAUGGAUACUCAGAGAUUGAACUAAGUAGACGACACGUCUACUCUACUGUAUGUGGCCAUGUCUUCUGUAGUCAGUGCCUCCUCACCUCCCUUAAAUAUACUAAAACGUGCCCUGUUUGUUUGAAAAAAAUCAGUAACCGUCAGUGCCACCGCAUUUAUGUGUGAUAUGUACCCUUGUUACUCAGGAGAGACAAGACCCCACUCCUGCCCCCCUGGAUUUCUCAUGUCCUUGUGCAGGAAAUAAGGGCUGUUGGCAUCCAAUGCUCUAAGCUUAAAAAGCCGGAUUUUUAAAAUUGUUGUCUGGAAUGUAUAAAAAAUAACGUCUUGUUCCUCCA